GGUCCUCACAUUUUGGCUCAGAAUAAACUCACCCCAAUUUUCAUUUAUAGAUUGGAUAUGGAUUAUUUGUGUCAACAAGAACCACAAGUGACACAAGUCAGCAAGUCUGGGCUCCUAAAGGGGUAAGUUAUGCAAAACUUCCUUUCUGAGCAACAUCUUCUCCAGAAGCCUGUGUGCAUUAGUCACGUCCCCUUUCACUCCGUGGUACCGCAGCCUCCUCUGCAGAGACUGGACCCUGAGCUGACAGACAGUCAGCCAUGCCUCCCCUGGGCCACCGGCCUCCGGCCAAACCAAGACAUGCAGUGGAGGUGGACUGGACAGCUCCACGUCGUCUGGAACUCUGGAUUGCAACCCCAACUUGGAAGGGCACUUCCUGUGCUUUUGGCACGAGUCACCUCACCUUGCUGGGCUUGUCUGUAACACAGCCGGCAGGGCACGCGGCUGGGCUGCUGCCCAGGAUGCUUUUCUACCCGGAGACUGUGAUUCAGAGCUGGCAGUGAAUUCGGCUGGGAGGCCUGCCCCAGUGCCAUCAUUUAAGGGAAGCCCAUUGUGACAGCCAAGUUAAAAAGGGAAACAUGAAUUUCUGAGUCCCCGCCGGGUUCCUGGAACUUGCCUCUUUGAGACUUGUCUUCCUGAUCUCUAAAGCGGGGGCAGCACUUCUCAUGGCUCUUGGGAACUUAGAAUGAGGUAUGUGCUCAUUCACUCAUUCAUUCAUUCAACAAAUAUUACAAGGCCUCUCCUGAGCCAGGCACAGUGCUAGGUGUUAGAGAGACAGCAGUGAACAACAGAGGCAGGGGUCUGUCCUUGGGGAGCUUAGGCUCUGGGGGAGCAGACAUGAAACAGAUGCAUCAAGAGGGAUGAGAGGACGGCCUGGCCUGAGGGGAGGGCCCGUGGGGCGCCAGGGCCUUGGCUGUGAGGGUAAGACUCUGUACUGGGUUUUAAGAGCACCAGGAGGAGCAGGGCACGACCCCAUUUCUGUUUGGAAAUGCUCUCUCUGGCUGCCGAGAGAAGGAGAGCAGAAGGAGGGGCCAGGCCCAGGGCAGAGAGGUGAGCUGGCCAGAGGGGUGUGGGGCACCUGCAUCCCUUUGCACCUCUUCUCCAGAGGUCUUUCUCCAGGUGCCUGGGAGCACCGCCGCCUGGGCGCAGGGCUCUGCAGGAAUGAGGCGCGCCCUCCGCAGAGGGAGACUGCAGAUCUCCAGGUGCUUGUGAAUGUUAUUUCCCUGCCAUGGGAGAUUACCCAGAGCAAGAGAGUGUGGAAAAGGGACCCAAGAGCCCCAGGCAGAGGUCCAGAGAUAGGGGUCUAUUCCCAGACUCAGAUAGGUCGCUUGUCUCCCUGUGCCUUAGUUUCCCCAACUGCCAUCCAUGGGACUAGCACUGAGUCUGGGCUAAGUUCAAGUCCAGGCAGCACUUCACUGUGGAAGGAGCUGGGGCUUUGGGGUCACAGGGGCUUGAGCUCGACCCUAGCUCUGCACACAUGAGGCCGAGGGGCCGAGGCCGGCUGCUAUGCUUCUGGAAGCCUGCUGCUGGCCAGGGGCCCACACUUUGAGAGCCACUGCCCCAGAAUAACAUCCUUCAGGGAUCAGGGCCUCUGCUUGGCUCAGUGUUGGGCCCUGAACAGUGCUGGCCCACAGCCAACCCUUGGUGAGUGCCUGUGGGUGAACAGACUCUGAGUGGCUUGUUUGACGGGGACAGAGGGGGUAGAGGGUGGGUGUGGGCCUGGGGAGGGCGGCAGAAGGUAGUCAGGGACCAAAUCAUGAAGGGUCUCUAAUGCCAGGUUAAGGAGCUGGGACCUUGUGGCAGCUGGAUGUGGUCUCCAGAGAUGUCCACAGCCCCAUUGCUGAACCUGAGAAUGUUACCUCACAUGGCAAAAAGGACUUUGCAGACGUGAUUAAGUUAAGGAAUUUGGGAUGGGGAGGUUAUCCUGGACUAUCCUGGUGGGCUUUAAAUGUGCCCUUAUAAGAGGGAGGCAGAGGCAGCUUUGGCUAUAGAAGAGGAGAAGAUGUGACCAUGGAGGCAAGAGGCUGGAGUGAUGUGAGGAAGGGGCCGUGAGUGUGGGCGGCCCCCAGAGGCUAGAAAAGACAAGGAAAUAGAUCCUCCUGUGAAGCCCCAGAAGGAACCAGCGCUGCCACCACCUUGAUGUCAGACUCCUGCGCUCCUGGACUAUAAGAGAAUACAUUUGUGUUGUUUUCAGCCACCAACUUCAUGGUCAUUUGUUGCAGCAGCCCUAGGAAACGAUCAUGGGCCUAUAUCUAGUAGGAGCAGAGGAAGCUGCUGGGCAGGGGUGUUGGAGCAGACAGGGCGUCCAGGGGAGAGGUGAUGGGGGCGGGGGGCAGAGGCAGCCAGUCGGGGUCAGGAAGGGGCAGGCAGAAAAUCCUUCUUCGGAGGUGGCCGCUGGUUUGCAGCAGGGAAGGGAGGACUGGCCAGCUCAGCAGUCUCUCCUGGAGGCUCCCUUCCCCCCACCAAGGGCAGGCCCAGAUCAGUCCUAGGAAUUCUAGGCUCAGGCACACACUCCUGCCCCCUUGGCAACGAUAGGGCUUUCGGUCAAGUCAACACUGGCUUUUGUUCCCACUGGGAGAACAGGAAAGACACGCUAUCAGUCAUGGGGGAAGCUGGGAGCUGACCUUAUGGAGGGCCACACGAGGCCCUGAACGUCCUGACAGCCCAGUGGGAAAAUUAUCCUCUGGCUGUUCCUGUUUCCUGCACCCCCAUGUCCCUGCCAUGAUCUGAAGCCCUCUGACUGGUUCCCCAUCCUCCUCUGCCAAACCCCUCUGCCCACGCUCCCGGGGGGCUGGAGGAGAGAGCACGGCUGUGGACCCGAGGAACAGGUACUCCACGGCUGCUGUGUGUGACCAGGACAUGGCCUUUUGGCUGGUCUUAGCUUCUCCACAGCCCCCACCCAGGGCGGCCAUGAGGAUCAGAGGAGAAGCGAGCAGAGGAGAAGUGUGUCCCCAGAGGACAGUCAGUGAGGGGGGUUGCUAUUUCUGCUGAUGCUCAGAUCUUGGCUUUGGCUGACUCCCUAGCUUGUUGCUUGGGCAAUUUACUUAACUUCUCUGAGCCUCAGUGUUCCCACCCGUAAAGUGGAAACCAAACAACCACUUACUCCACAGGGUUGUGUGAAAAAAGAGAUGAGGCCAUGCGUCUACAGGGCCUUCACCAUCUGCAUUUAAAGCUCAACUCAGAGGUCUGCUCCCUGGCCCGUGCACUGCCUCAUUCGGGUGCCCAGUGCCCUGGGUUUCAGUCCUUGGCACAUGCUGCACUGCACCAUUGCCAGCCUGCUCCUCAGCUGGACUGCGAGCCAUCACAGCCACAUGGCCAGGAAAUAGCCUUCAUGCGCUCUCUGUAUGUUUACCGUGUGCCUUCCCGGGGCAGACACUGUGCUGGGUUCUGAGGAUGGAGCGGUGAGUGCAACAGAGACAGACUUCUAGAAGCUCCUGUCGUGGCGGGGGAGAGAAACGUGAACAGGUCGCUGUGGAGCUGCUCACUGAGCUGCAGUCGUGUUAGGAGUCCUAUAAAGGGGAGCAUAUGGCGCCUCAGGAAGCCACAAGGGCGACCGAUCUGGUCUGGGGGAUAUCUGAGUUGAGCUCUGCACCUGCGGGAAGGAGGAAACUCAGCGAAAAUGAGGGACAAGCAGGUUCCAGACAGGGAACUGUCCCUGCAGAAGCUCAGCGGCAGGAGACAGUGGAUUCUAACCCAGAGCCACGGGAGCCUCAGGGGGGUCGGGGGGUGAGCGGAGUGGAAGGCAGUGGGCUACUACGCAUCUUCCUCUCCGCUGCACACCAGGGCCCAGGGUGUGGCAGCUGGGGGCAGGCCUGGGUCCGACCCUGCUGACCCCCACAGUUAUCACUGCAGGUCAUGAGACACCGCUGUCACUGGGUCCCAGGAAGGUAGUUCCUUGUGUUUAUGAGCCAUAAUUUCUCAGAACUUUCCCCCAAAAUCGGCCAUUCCAAAUGUUCUGGGUACCUGUGCUGAGGGCAUCAGAAAUCGGCCCAGCCUCAACCCCUGAGGAGCUCUGCCCCUGCCAGGAGUCCCAGACAGCCCGAGAAGCAGGGGCUACGUCAGUGGGGCAACGUUCACUCUUUAAGGAGAGCACCGAGCCUCUGCAAGCCCCAGAGGGGCCACACUCACACGAGGCACUGAACAAAGUGCUUGAGGUCUGGAGGUGGGGCCUGAACCGGCUCUGGCUGCCAGGAAGCUCUUCUUCUCCCUUACAGAUGCUGGACCCAGGUGCAGCCCCACCUGAGAAGUGCCCACAGCACCCACUGCUGGGAGCUCAGGGGCCCCUGCUCACUGCAACUCCGGAGCCUGAGGCAAGCUGUGGGGUGGGGGCCGAGGGACAAGGGGGUCCAGCAUCCUGCAGUUCAGAUACUGCCAAGUGAUGGGUAAUUGGGGCCAUGGUGGGGCAACGAGGGGUUGGGGGAACUCAGAGGAACGGAGUUUGGCUCUGCAGGCGGUGGCGGCAACAGUUUUGUGUGUGUGUGUGUGUGUGAGCAUGUGUGAGCACACAUAUGCCAAAGGCAACAUUCUAAUGGGCCUGGAAGACCCCAUGAAUGUUGAAAACACUCACAGUGCUGAGCCGGCAGGUGCACGUCUAGGAGACCGUCCUGGGAUUCCCCACAACACUGUGAGCGUUAGCAGGGGCUGGAACCGGUGGGAAAGUGCACACGCAGCGUGCCAUGCGGCCAUCCGAAAGAUGCACCAGGUUGUCUGGGUGAUGAGGGAUGGUGUCCAAACGUGCACCGAGUGAGACAUCUGAAGGGAAGCCAACUCAUGAGCAAGCCUGGUGCAUUUGCCUCUGAAACUCACACCCCCAGGGUGUGUUCGCCUUCCCUGGCCGCAGCCACCACGCUGGUCUCAUCCAAGUCAGCACCAUGUCCCGCCUGGACUUUCGUGACGGCUCUUGACUGGCCUCCCUGCUGCUCCCUUUACCCACCAACACCACCACCGGCUUAUGUCUCGCCUGUGUGUCCCAUUGCACCCUCUGCUCAGCUCACAAGGCCCCACAGAUGUGCACCCACCUCUCUGAUCUCCUACCUCACCCCCGGGCCUCAGUGGAUACCUGGCUGCACUGACCUUGUUCCGGUGCCCUGGACGUGCUGCUCACUCCACCCUGGAGCUCUGCUGUGAUCCACGCCGACAUGGACAGUCACAUCAGGCUGCAAAAUCAGCUCCACAGCGGGCCCUCCUUGACCCCCGCAGCUGCUCCCUCACCUCUGUCCUAGCCCCCUUCAUUUGGCUUCCGCAGCACCAUUUUUCCCUGGCAUUUUCCUGGCUUCCCUAUUUGUUCAUUAUUUCUCUCUCCCCACUGAAAGUGAGCGCUGCUGAGGGCCAGGAUCCCUGCUGCCUUGUUCCCCGACAGGCACUUCAGGGCGGCUCAAUUAAUACCUACUGGAUUGCCUAAAGGCAGAUUGAAAACAACCAUCGUAACAACAUCAUAUCCCAUUUAUCGGGCACUUUGGAAGCGCCAAUCUUUACAUGCUUUAUCACGUUUAAUCUCUGCAACACAUACUACACGUACGCCGUUACUCAUCUCUGUUUGACAGAGGAGGAAAUCAAGGUUUAUGGUGCUGUGUGACUUGGCAAAAGUCCCCAGCCGGCAGCAGGCCGGCAGAUGUGGGAAGGCCUGCGGAGGGCGGUCUCAGGGCAGGAGUUGGACUGUGCCAAACGAAGAUCUGCCUUGUCCUUCUGGGGGAGGCGACGUUGCAGUGUUGCAGCGAGGCCCAAACCUCUGCCAUCCAGCGGCAGAACUGGCCGGGGAGGCAGGGACCGGGUGGAGAGGGCAUGGGCUGGGAAUCUGGACCCUGCGGGUGAGUCCCUGUGGGAGUCUGACUUGCUGUGUUACCUCUGGCGAGUUUCACACCCCAGGUUCCUCCGCAGAAAGCUGGGAACAUGUGCUUUGGAUGGCAAAGGCCUCUUCCAGCAACUUUUGUUUGUGUGUGUGGGAGGGAAGGAAUCCGAGCCCCGCAGAUGACAAAAUUGGAGGGCUCUGGGUGGAAACAAGACACAGGGGUCACCCGGUGUUUAGGAACUGCUUUUACAGCAUCCCAGAGAGGCAUACCUCCAACGACAGGGGGCUUACUAUCUUACAACUUAUUUGUCAGUCAGUCAUGGCCAUUUAAAGACAUUUAUGGAGACCUACAUAUUCUUUUUUUUUUGGAGGCCAUACCCUACGGCAUAACAAAUAUAUUGUGAUAUAUGCACAUUCCAUAGAAGAUAUAAUUUGCAUAUAACUACUUUUGGGUUUUUUUGGUGAAGGAGAUUGUCCCUGAGCUAAUAUCUCUUGCCAAUCGUCCUCUCUUUGCUUGAGGAAGAUUGUCACUGAGCUAACAUCUGUGCCAAUCUUCCUCUUUCUUAUGGGGGCUGCUGUAAGAGAGGGGCUUGACAAGCGGUGCUAGGUCUGCGCCCGGGAUCCAAACCUGUGAACCCUGGGCCACUGAAGUAGAGCGUGCAAACUUAACCGCUGCGCCACCAGGCCAGCCCCACAUAUAGCUACUUAAUAUAAACUGCCACGGCCUAGCUGCCACAGUAUUACAUUUGCAGAUGUCUGAUUAAACAUUUAUUACUUGCAAGUUUGUGGUUUUCUUUUUAUGUUUUAGAUCUGGUACGUGUGUGCGUGUGUGUGAGAAAGAGAGAGUUUGUAGAUAUUUUGUAGGUUCCUGAAAAGCUCAGAGGCCCCGGAGAACAAGCCUAAGUCCCUUUUUCCAGGCAGCCCUAGAGAGGUCCAUGUUCUCUGAGUUUUUGCUUCUCUAUGACUGAACAGCCCUCAGGUCCUUAAACUUGACCCAUCAGCAUCACCAUUGCCAUCAUGGCUACUACUGUCCUCACCAUCAUCCCACCAUCAUCACCAUCCCAUUCACCACCAUCUGCACCAGCAGCAGCCGCUGCCUCAUGAGCUGGGCACCAGAAUGUCCCCCCCAACACUGCAUCUUCCUUCCUCUGUUCUGCUUUCCGCGGGCCUCACUCCAGGAAGGUCUUGCCCUCCAGCAGGGUGCAGCUUGCUCUCACAGGCAGCAGUCCUGCAGCCAGCUGGGCCACCUUAACGCUAUCAGCAGCCCACAGUCAAAACUUGCCAGGCACAUUCGCACACACCGGUUACCUCACAUAAUUCUCUCGGCCCUUCCCUGCUUUCCACCGCCCCUCCGCCUGCCCCGGGGCUCAUUUUGAGUCCUGUAGGAGAACUCUGUGGAGUGCCAGGGCAGACACUGUUACCCCAUUUUGCAAGUGUGGCACAGAUAGGCUGAAUGCCUAGGCCGAGGCCACACAGCUGGUCGCAGUCGGGAAGACCCUCUCGGCUUCUAACUCCCGACAGCCUAUCCCGUCCCACACCUCCUGGGUUUCUCAAACCUCAUCUGUUCACGUUCCACCUCCACAAUUUUUGCCAAACCCGUAAAAUACUAGUUCCAUUUUUUACCUAACAUUUUUCUUUAAAGUGACUAAAUUUAUUGCAAAAGGAAUUUUUUUUAUCAUUUUAAUAACCACCAGGAUCACUUCCCUUCAAAUAAGUCACCCUGAAAAUAAAUGCAGUGAAAACACACCCAAUGUUGUUAUAUUCCAUGUAGCUGCUGCUGCCCAAGAGCCAGCCCAGCCCCGUGCUGGGCAGGCAGAUGGACGGACGGACAGACGGACGGACAGACAGAAACCUCACUGACAUUUUUCUGUGAUGUGAGAGAAGGCUUGAAGGAGAACGGAACAGGCAUCUUCUCACCGUAUGAUGGGAGGUUUGUGGCUCUCUAUGCCACGACCCCCUGAGUCCACCUCGGGAUCCCAGGCGGCCUGCCCCACAGUGGAGGAAGCAGUUCACUCACCCCAGGAGGCCAAGGCCGUGGAGGGGAAAGGAGCCGGGAUCCUCUCUGAGGCUUCGUUUUCCCCCCACAGCACGGGGUGCUGGGAAGAGGAAGGUAAAGGUGGAGAGAUGGUGCCAGAAGCUUUGUGGCUCCCCGGCAAACAUUACUCCCCUCCCCACGGCCAUCCUCUGGGCUUCAUGUCCCACCUUUCCUUCGAGAGAAGGCACCCAAGGUCGCCAGAUGAAGAAGGAGCCAGGAGAAGAAAUGAGCCGCGAGGAAACACGGGUCUGCAUUUGGGAGCGUCCGAGUGCAGGCGGCUGGGUGAGGCUAGAGCGGCUGUUUGGGUGCGAAGGCUGCCCCUCACCCCACCCCCAGAGCAGCCCCCAGGACCCUGGUGAGAAAAAGGGUCUUCACAGCAGCACAGCGUGUCCUAAUCCCAGCUCUGCCGCUCAGUGAGGAGAGCUAGCCAGGUGGCUUUGCCUAGGGCCCGCUUUCCCUUCUGCAACCAAUGCAAAUGAAACCCAGGGUGAUACCACUGCACACCCACUGGGAUGGCUAGAAUCCAGAAGUCAGAUAAGAAGUGUUGGUGAGGAUGUGGAGAAACCGGACCCCUCACGCACGGCUGGUGGGAAUGUAACCGGACGCAGCUGCCGUGGAAAACGCUCUGGCAGUUCCUUCAGAGGCUAAAGAGCAUGAUCACAGGACCCAGCAAUUCCACUCCUGGGUAUGUACCCAAAAGAAAUGGAAAUACACAUCCUCACAAA